UAUUAAAAAUUUCAUCCAUUUCUAUUAUUAAAAACUAGCGUGAUUAACGGAAUAACCAAACAUUUAAACAUGACAUGCCACAAAUACCUCAUUCUGACAAAAAAGAUUGAUUUUUAACAGUAGAAGUGGAUGAAAUUUUUAACA
rfam:Gossypium raimondii Chr06_contig_1306, whole genome shotgun sequence.